rnacentral:misc_RNA from 1 species
UUCUCCCACUCCAAAGUUGUGAUGCUUCGAGGGAGACGGUUCUUCAUAUCCCAAAAUACGCUUCUCCCGAGAUUAACAUCAUGUUUCAUGAGCCUCAUUCUUGCAUCUCUGGGCCAACAUUUCUUGUUUUGGUACCCAACCAUGUUUUCAUUGUUGGGAUCAGGAUGCUCAGUAAGAUAGCGCUGGAUGAGAUCUCGAGCCUCUUCAUGAGUGAAGCGGAACAAUAUAUGCACCCUGUCUAUAUAUCUAGAAUAUAACCGAAUUGGGUGCCUUGUCUCAACUUUUGUAUCCCAAUAAGUGAUGAACUCGUUUGGCAUUUGUGGUGGACCAGCAAUCUCACUGGCACGAGUCAAUCCAAGAAGUAACAGAUCUAGCACAAGUCCAUAAUAUUGUAC